UGUGUCCAAACUUUUGAUGCCUGUGAAAUGUAAAAUGACGUUAACAUUUUUUAUUGAAAAUGCCACAGCGCCACUUUAAUUGACCAGCUUAAUCAACCUAGUCUGCCUAGUGGUCAGAUGCGGUAUUGCAGUUUUUCUCUAGAUUCGCCAGGUGAAGUUAACAACUUUUAAUUAAAACCAAAAGGAUGCUGCACAGCUAUGCUUAACCUUUCUUGAGAACCCAUAAGAAAAAAGCAUAAGCUAGAAUCUUAAGAAUUAUAUUAAGAAUACAUUUAGGACGAUUUAAGGUAAACCUAUCUUGCGUUUGUGGAUUUUACUAACAAUACAACCGCAAAGUACACAACAAGAGUCGAUUCAUUAAACUGGGAUUGUUCAAAACGCUGCUGCACGUCUCCUAACUGGUACUCCCGUCCCCUGGGCCUCUUCCUGGUGGGACGUGCCUGGAACACCUACCCGAGGAAGGCGUCCAGGACGCAUCCGGUAUAGAUGCCCGAG